rnacentral:tRNA from 1 species
GGCCGGGUGGCGAAAUGGUAUCGCGUCAGAUUUCGGCGAACUUUCGAGUUCAUGAAACCGUUAUCUCUACCUCUGAAGAUUGUGGGUUCGAAUCCCAUCUCGGUCG